rnacentral:sRNA from 1 species
AAGAACAGAGGGCUGCCAACAAGA